GUGGGGAAUCUUCCGCAAUGGACGAAACUCUGAUGCAGCGACGCCGCGUGAGUGAAGAAGUAUUUCGGUAUGUAAAGCUCUAUCAGCAGGGAAGAUAAUGACAGUACCUGACUAAGAAGCACCGGCUAACUACGUGCCAGCAGCCGCGGUAAUACGUAGGGGGCAAGCGUUAUCCGGAUUUACUGGGUGUAAAGGGAGCGUAGACGGAAUGGCAAGUCUGAAGUGAAAUCCUGCGGCUUAACUGCAGAAUUGCUUUGGAAACUGUCAAUCUGGAGUGUUGGAGAGGUAAGCGGAAUUCCUGGUGUAGCGGUGAAAUGCGUAGAUAUCAGGAAGAACACCGGAGGCGAAGGCGGCUUACUGGACAAUAUCUGACGUUGAGGCGCGAAAGCGUGGGAAGCAAACAGGAUUAGAAACCCUAGUAGUCC
rnacentral:rRNA from 1 species